UUCCGGCGCGAUUCCGGCUUCAUCCGACGUCCGAUCGAGGCGAUUCCGGUGGCGUUGGAAAGCUUGUUCCGAGAGCUUUCUUUUGACACCAAUUUUGAAGCAAAUGGAGGUCGGAUGAGUGAGAUAUGGAGGAGAGAAGUUUCGGGUUUUUCAAGCUUUUUCGUCAGAUCUACGACGAUCCGACCGUUGGAUCGACGAUCCAAGACCACAUAUGGACUGAGGAAGAGGAGAGGAACAUGGUGGUAUGAUCAGAUUCGGCAAAUGUCGCCGGUGGUGCCGGUGGUGGCCCGGUGAGCUAUGGAGAUGGUUCAACUUCCAGAAGCUUCCUCAUAAAUUUUUGGAAUUUUUGAGACACAGAUAAACUUCGGGUGAGCCGGGACAGCCUUCUUCCUCCGCCCAGCCGCCACAGUAAUUUGUCAUCAAGUUUGCCACAGGAGGAGUUAUUUUACAGAGCAACCUGUUUUCUUCCUCGCAGGUUUAACGUCAAUUAUUUAAUUGUUUUACUAUCUUUUCUAAAUUAAAAAUCUAGAACUCCGCAUGUGUUAGAAAUAGUGUGGACCUUGGUAGAGGUUGUGUUAACUUAAAUUUUUAAGAUUAAUAAAUGAAGAUUUGUAUGGUAUUUAAA